rnacentral:tRNA from 2 species
GCGGGAGUGGUGAAAUCGGUAGACACGCAGGAUUUAGGUUCCUGUGCCUUCGGGCGUGAGGGUUCGAGUCCCUCCUUCCGCACCA